CGGUGGAUCACUCGGCUCGUGGAUCGAUGAAGAACGCAGCAAACUGCGCGUCAAAGUGUGAACUGCAGGACACAUGAACAUCGACGUUUCUAACGCACAUUGCGGCCCAAGGAUCCCAUUCCCGGGCCACGCCUGGCUGAGGGCAGGCUAACAGAUCCGCGAACCUCGGGUCUUGGGAGUCCCGGCGGUCCCCCUUCGGGGCC
rnacentral:rRNA from 1 species